rnacentral:lncRNA from 12 species
CUUAAAAAUGCAAAUUUCUCUGGCAAGGAUAAAACCUCCUGUCACUGACAUUUAAGGAAAAAUGAGUUUAUGUAACACUGCUUGUCAUGACAGAGGAAACAUAGGGGCAGCAUUAGGUCACCAGCUGUCACAAGAGCAUAAGUCAAUUCAACAAUGAAAAGCAGUACAAAAGCUGAAGAUAAACUUUGCUAGCUUCACUGUUUUUCCCUGGAUGGUCCUAGUCAACUGACUAUGUCUCUAAGGAAGACUUCAAUAACAGCUCCUAAUGGAUUUCCUACCUCAAACUCCCUGCAACUCACAACAAGAAGUACACUAAUCGGACAAAAAUUUGCAACAUUAUAAGGAAUGCUCUGAAAGCUAAUGGAAGAUGAAACUGGAAGUCUUCACAUUUUUUUGAAUGACUUAGUUUUGACUUAAAUUUUAGAAAGAUCAAUGUGGCAGCACUCUAGAGACUGAUUUGAGAAGGGGAAGGAUGAGAAGGAGGAAUGUAAUCCAAGAGGAAUGACAUCAGUCGAUGAAAGAUAUAGGGAAAACAUCAAUUGGGAUUGGAUUGGUGGGGGCACCUGGAAG